rnacentral:rRNA from 1 species
AUACGGAGGGUGCAAGCGUUACUCGGAAUCACUGGGCGUAAAGCGCGCGCAGGCGGCUAUUUAAGUUGGAUGUGAAAGCCUACGGCUCAACCGUAGAACUGCAUCCAAAACUAUUUGGCUCGAGUGUGGGAGAGGAAGAUGGAAUUAGUUGUGUAGGGGUAAAAUCCGUAGAGAUAACUAGGAAUACCAAAAGCGAAGGCAAUCUUCUGGAACACUGCUGACGCUGAGGCGCGAAAGCGUGGGGAGCAAACAGGAUUAGAUACCCUAGUAGUCC